rnacentral:rRNA from 1 species
GACGAACGCUGGCGGCGUGCUUAACACAUGCAAGUCGAACGGAAAGGCCCUGCUUUUGUGGGGUGCUCGAGUGGCGAACGGGUGAGUAGCACGUGAGUAACCUGCCCUUGAUUUUGGGAUAACUUCAGGAAACUGGGGCUAAUACCGGAUAGGAGCUCCUGCUGCAUGGUGGGGGUUGGAAAGUUUCGGCGGUUGGGGAUGGACUCGCGGCUUAUCAGCUUGUUGGUGGGGUAGUGGCUUACCAAGGCUUUGACGGGUAGCCGGCCUGAGAGGGUGACCGGCCACAUUGGGACUGAGAUACGGCCCAGACUCCUACGGGAGGCAGCAGUGGGGAAUAUUGCACAAUGGGCGGAAGCCUGAUGCAGCAACGCCGCGUGCGGGAUGACGGCCUUCGGGUUGUAAACCGCUUUCGCCUGUGACGAAGCGUGAGUGACGGUAAUGGGUAAAGAAGCACCGGCUAACUACGUG